rnacentral:rRNA from 1 species
AACGAACGCUGGCGGCAUGCCUAACACAUGCAAGUCGAACGAGAUCUUCGGGUCUAGUGGCGCGCGGGUGCGUAACGCGUGGGAAUCUGCCCUUUGGUUCGGAAUAACAGUUGGAAACGACUGCUAAUACCGGAUGAUGACGAAAGUCCAAAGAUUUAUCGCCAGAGGAUGAGCCCGCGUAGGAUUAGCUAGUUGGUGUGGUAAGGGCGCACCAAGGCGACGAUCCUUAGCUGGUCGGAGAGGAUGAUCAGCCACACUGGGACUGAGACACGGCCCAGACUCCUGCGGGAGGCAGCAGUGGGGAAUAUUGGACAAUGGGCGAAAGCCUGAUCCAGCAAUGCCGCGUGAGUGAUGAAGGCCUUAGGGUUGUAAAGCUCUUUUACCCGGGAUGAUAAUGGCAGUACCGGGAGAAUAAGCUCCGGCUAACUCCGUGCCAGCAGCCGCCGUAACAC